GAUGGGGGUCAAUGAUUAUACUGAGCCCACUAAGCAUAGGCCAGCCUAGAGGCUGAGUGUUUUCUGCAUGUAUUUUAAGGGAAAAUGGCAGGCAAUUCCAUGCAGAGCUCUGGCCGAGAAACAUCUGCACAGCCUUUGCUCUGCAGAGAGGCUCCUCUGAAGGUGCCCCUUGCACACAAACCAGACCCUGGAUGUUCUCACACUUAUGUCAGUUAACGUUGCCUGGUGCUAGAGGUGGCAUUGGGCAUAACCCAUUUAUUUUGGCUGCUAUAUGGAUUGGCUUUGUGUGAAUGACCAUCUCCAUAUGCUGGCAAUAUCAAAGGUUCCUCUUUCCACCUCUCUUUGGACAGUGAUUGCUUCUCCUCCAUUUCUCCUGCUGUGUGCCAUCUGUCCACACUUGUGCAAUAAGAUCAAUAUCCUGUCAGACUUCAUCAUGUGUCCUCUUUAGUAUCUCAUUGUGUAAAUCUGCAUAGCUGUAAAUCAGAUUUUUUUUUUUUAAUUUGAAAAAAUAAUAAUGAAUUCCUCAUCACAGCAAAGAUGUUGUUGUUACUGUCAGUCCGGCACAGAUAAUGAAGUCAAUAAGGGAUCUCUGAUAUGCUUGUAUCUGGCCAGAAAAAUUUAAGUUUUAGAAGCUAAUGCCACCAGGACAAUUGAGGAAAACAGCUGCAACACAGGACCUGGUAACUUAUCUAUUCUUUCUUUUUUUUUUUAAGACUCAAGGGGGAUACAUAAGGCUGUGUCUAUUACUUCUAAAAUGUUAGUAUAUUUGAUUCUCCCUCGUGUACACACAUUGCUAUUACCCUUCAGAAAUUCCAUUUGAAAACACGAUACCAGGAGUCUGGUGUGGUUGAUCAGGACUAUCUAAACACGCUGCCGGCUUUAGUGUUUGUAUACUGUGUUUGUCACUGUGAUGUGGGACCUGUGAUAUUUGCAAUCUCCACAGUCUAAGUUUUCUUUGAAAAGUAGUUAGCAGCACAAUGUGAUCCCUGAGCUUGGCUUAUGUUUGUUUUUAUCAGUAUGCAAUAAUCCACCCUCACAUGAUAGCUGUGUGAGCUGCCAAAAUGUAAAUGACGUUCCUGCCUAUGCUCUCACUGGAGGUACUGGACUAGUUAUUUCUCCUCUGAAAGAGCAAUGAAUCUGAUAGUUGUCAGCAACCUGAGAUUUAGAUGCUAACUUUUCCCCUUGUGUUGCUGUGUAUUGAUCUCCUUUAUCCUAAUUUGUUUGUUUGUUGUUUGGUCCGCUGUCUCUGAGUAAGCUAAUCUGUUUAGAUUUUCAUGUAUACAUAUGGCUCUGGUUUAGGUCUGUGUUUUGUUUUAGGAUGGUAAAGCUCAAGAGUAAUCAAGACGUCUGUUCCAUGGGGUAGACUCCCCAUUAUACACACAUCCCUGGGAUACUGGAAACCUUUGACAACCGGAGCCUCACCAUUUCAUUUUCCCCCCUGAAACCCAGAUUUGUUAAAGUAAUAAAGUAGAAAAGUAAUAAAGCAGGAAAAAAAAAGGAGUAACGUAGACAUUGUAGUCAUUUGGACUUUUUCUA